GGACUACUAGGGUUUCUAAUCCUGUUUGCUCCCCACGCUUUCGCGCCUCAGUGUCAGUUUGAGCCCAGUGAGUCGCCUUCGCCACUGGUGUUCCUUCCGGUAUCUACGCAUUUCACCGCUACUCCGGAAAUUCCACUCACCUCUGCUCCACUCUAGAUAAGCAGUUUUGUAUGCAGUUCCCAGGUUAAGCCCGGGGCUUUCACAUCCAACACACUUAUCCACCUACGCGCCCUUUACGCCCAGUCAUUCCGAUUAACGCUCGCACCCUCUGUAUUACCGCGGCGGCUGGCAC
rnacentral:rRNA from 2 species